GACGAACGCUGGCGGCGUGCUUAACACAUGCAAGUCGAACGGAAAGGCCCUGCUUUUGUGGGGUGCUCGAGUGGCGAACGGGUGAGUAACACGUGAGUAACCUGCCCUUGACUUUGGGAUAACUUCAGGAAACUGGGGCUAAUACCGGAUAGGAGCUCCUGCUGCAUGGUGGGGGUUGGAAAGUUUCGGCGGUUGGGGAUGGACUCGCGGCUUAUCAGCUUGUUGGUGGGGUAGUGGCUUACCAAGGCUUUGACGGGUAGCCGGCCUGAGAGGGUGACCGGCCACAUUGGGACUGAGGUACGGCCCAGACUCCUACGGGAGGCAGCAGUGGGGAAUAUUGCACAAUGGGCGGAAGCCUGAUGCAGCAACGCCGCGUGCGGGAUGACGGCCUUCGGGUUGGAAACCGCUUUCGCCUGUGACGAAGCGUGAGUGACGGUAAUGGGUAAAGGAGCACCGGCUAACUACGGG
rnacentral:rRNA from 1 species